rnacentral:rRNA from 1 species
UACGGAGGGUGCAAGCGUUGUCCGGAUUUAUUGGGUUUAAAGGGUGCGUAGGCGGUUCGUUAAGUCCGGGGUGAAAGCCCACUGCUCAACAGUGGAACUGCCCUGGAAACUGGCGGACUUGAGUACGAGAAGGGGCAACUGGAAUUCUCGGUGUAGCGGUGAAAUGCGUAGAUAUCGAGAGGAACACCUGCGGCGAAGGCGGGUUGCUGGGCUGAUACUGACGCUGAGGCGCGAAAGCCAGGGGAGCGAACGGG